rnacentral:rRNA from 1 species
AGAGUUUGAUCCUGGCUCAGGACGAACGCUGGCGGUAUGCCUAACACAUGCAAGUCGAACGAGAUUCUUCAUUUGUUUACAAAAGAAUGAUUGCAGUGGCGGACGGGUGAGGAACACGUAAGAACUUACCUUUUGGCGGGGGAUAACAACGGGAAACUGUUGCUAAUACCCCAUAAUGCUGAGGAGCGAAAGGGAAACUGCCAAGAGAGAGGCUUGCGUCUGAUUAGCUAGUUGGAGGAGGUAAAUGCUCCCCAAGGCGACGAUCAGUAGCUGGUCUGAGAGGAUGAUCAGCCACACUGGGACUGAGACACGGCCCAGACUCCUACGGGAGGCAGCAGUGGGGAAUUUUCCACAAUGGGCGAAAGCCUGAUGGAGCAAUACCGCGUGAGGGAUGAAGGAUCGUGGUCUGUAAACCUCUUUUCUUAAGGAAGAAUAAAUGACGGUACUUAAGGAAUAAGCUCCGGCUAACUCCGUGCCAGCAGCCGCGGUAAUACGGGGGGUGCAAGCGUUGUCCGGAAUGAUUGGGCGUAAAGCAUCUGUAGGUGGUUUUUAAAGUCAACUGUUAAAGCCCAGGGCUUAACUUUGGAAAAGCGGUUGAGCACUUAAGGACUUGAGUAUGGUAGGGGUAGAGGGAAUUCCUUGUGGAGCGGUGAAAUGCACAGAGAUAAGGAAGAACACCGAGGGCGAAAGCACUCUACUGGGCCAUGACUGACACUGAGAGAUGAAAGUCGGGGGAGCGAAAAGGAUUAGAUACCCUUGUAGUCCCGACCGUAAACGAUGGAUACUAAGUGCUGACAAAAUCAGUGCUGUAGCUAACGCGUUAAGUAUCCCGCCUGGGGAGUAUGCUCGCAAGAGUGAAACUCAAAGGAAUUGACGGGAAUUGGCACAAGCGGUGGAUUAUGCGGUUUAAUUCGAUGAUACACGAAGAACCUUACCAGGGAUUGACAUGUUCAGAACUUUCGAGAGAUUGAGAGGUGCCCUUUUUUAGUUUCCAAGAAGAGGGAGCUGAAACACAGGUGGUGCAUGGCUGUCGUCAGCUCGUGCGGUGACGUGUCGAGUUAAGUCUUUAAACGAGCGCAACCCUUGUCUUUUGUUACCACUUUCUUUAUGAAAGGACUCAAAAGAGACUGCCGGUGUAAAUCGGAGGAAGGAGAGGAUGACGUCAAGUCAGCAUGCCCCUUACAUCCUGGGCUACACGCGUAAUACAAUGGCAAAGACAACAGGACGCGAACCCGCGAGGGGAAGCAAAUCCCAUAAACUUUGUCUCAGUUCGGAUUGAAGUCUGCAACUCGACUUCACGAAGCCGGAAUCGCUAGUAAUCGCCGGUCAGCUCUACGGCGGUGAAUACGUUCCCCAAUUUUGUACACACCGCCCGUCACAUGCUGGGAGCCGUCUUGUCCCAAAGACAGGUUGUGAACC